UACGGGGGGGGCAAGCGUUGUUCGGAAUUACUGGGCGUAAAGGGUUCGUAGGUGGCUUGCUAAGUCAGACGUGAAAUCCCUCAGCUUAACUGGGGAACUGCGUCUGAUACUGGCGAGCUUGAGUACAGGAGAGGAACGCGGAAUUCCAGGUGUAGCGGUGAAAUGCGUAGAUAUCUGGAGGAACACCGGUGGCGAAGGCGGCGUUCUGGACUGCAACUGACACUGAUGAACGAAAGCCAGGGGAGCAAACGGG
rnacentral:rRNA from 1 species